rnacentral:rRNA from 1 species
UACGGGGGGGGUAAGCGUUGUUCGGAAUUACUGGGCGUAAAGGGCUCGUAGGCGGCCAACUAAGUCAGACGUGAAAUCCCUCAGCUUAACUGGGGAACUGCGUCUGAUACUGGAUGGCUUGGAUUCGGGAGAGGAAUGCGGAAUUCCAGGUGUAGCGGUGAAAUGCGUAGAUAUCUGGAGGAACACCGGUGGCGAAGGCGGCAUUCUGGCCUGUUCUUGACGCUGAGGCGCGAAAGCUAGGGUAGCAAACGGG